GACGAACGCUGGCGGCGUGCCUAAUACAUGCAAGUCGAGCGGACGGAUGGGAGCUUGCUCCCAGACCGUCAGCGGCGGACGGGUGAGUAACACGUGGGCAACCUGCCUGUAAGACUGGGAUAACUCCGGGAAACCGGGGCUAAUACCGGAUAACUCUUUCCCUCACAUGAGGGAAAGCUGAAAGAUGGCAUCUCGCUAUUACUUACAGAUGGGCCCGCGGCGCAUUAGCUAGUUGGUGAGGUAACGGCUCACCAAGGCGACGAUGCGUAGCCGACCUGAGAGGGUGAUCGGCCACACUGGGACUGAGGCACGGCCCAGACUCCUACGGGAGGCAGCAGUAGGGAAUCUUCCGCAAUGGACGAAAGUCUGACGGAGCAACGCCGCGUGAGUGAUGAAGGUUUUCGGAUCGUAAAACUCUGUUGUCAGGGAAGAACAAGUACCGGAGUAACUGCCGGUACCUUGACGGUACCUGACCAGAAAGCCACGGCUAACUACGUG
rnacentral:rRNA from 1 species